rnacentral:sRNA from 1 species
GCCCGACCUGAGUGGAGCUCAUUUUUUGUAUGGCCUUAGCCUCGGCAAAAAAUAGCGGGAACGGAGGGCGGAAAAGCUG